UUGAAAGAUGGCUUCGGCUAUCACUUUUGGAUGGUCCCGCGGCGUAUUAGCUAGAUGGUGGGGUAACGGCUCACCAUGGCAAUGAUACGUAGCCGACCUGAGAGGGUAAUCGGCCACAUUGGGACUGAGACACGGCCCAAACUCCUACGGGAGGCAGCAGUAGGGAAUCUUCCACAAUGGACGAAAGUCUGAUGGAGCAACGCCGCGUGAGUGAAGAAGGGUUUCGGCUCGUAAAACUCUGUUGUUAAAGAAGAACAUAUCUGAGAGUAACUGUUCAGGUAUUGACGGUAUUUAACCAGAAAGCCACGGCUAACUACGUGCCAGCAGCCGCGGUAAUACGUAGGUGGCAAGCGUUGUCCGGAUUUAUUGGGCGUAAAGCGAGCGCAGGCGGUUUUUUAAGUCUGAUGUGAAAGCCUUCGGCUCAACCGAAGAAGUGCAUCGGAAACUGGGAAACUUGAGUGCAGAAGAGGACAGUGGAACUCCAUGUGUAGCGGUGAAAUGCGUAGAUAUAUGGAAGAACACCAGUGGCGAAGGCGGCUGUCUGGUCUGUAACUGACGCUGAGGCUCGAAAGUAUGGGUAGCAAACAGGAUUAGAUACCCUGGUAGUCCAUACCGUAAACGAUGAAUGCUAAGUGUUGGAGGGUUUCCGCCCUUCAGUGCUGCAGCUAACGCAUUAAGCAUUCCGCCUGGGGAGUACGGCCGCAAGGCUGAAACUCAAAGGAAUUGACGGGGGCCCGCACAAGCGGUGGAGCAUGUGGUUUAAUUCGAAGCUACGCGAAGAACCUUACCAGGUCUUGACAUACUAUGCAAAUCUAAGAGAUUAGACGUUCCCUUCGGGGACAUGGAUACAGGUGGUGCAUGGUUGUCGUCAGCUCGUGUCGUGAGAUGUUGGGUUAAGUCCCGCAACGAGCGCAACCCUUAUUAUCAGUUGCCAGCAUUAAGUUGGGCACUCUGGUGAGACUGCCGGUGACAAACCGGAGGAAGGUGGGGAUGACGUCAAAUCAUCAUGCCCCUUAUGACCUGGGCUACACACGUGCUACAAUGGAUGGUACAACGAGUUGCGAACUCGCGAGAGUAAGCUAAUCUCUUAAAGCCAUUCUCAGUUCGGAUUGUAGGCUGCAACUCGCCUACAUGAAGUCGGAAUCGCUAGUAAUCGCGGAUCAGCAUGCCGCGGUGAAUACGUUCCCGGGCCUUGUACACACCGCCCGUCACACCAUGAGAGUUUGUAACACCCAAAGUCGGUGGGGUAACCUUUUAGGAACCAGCCGCCUAAGGUGGGACAGAUGAUUAGGGUGAAGUCGUAACAAGGUAGCCGUAGGAGAACCUGCGGCUGGAUCACCUCCUUUCUAAGGAA
rnacentral:rRNA from 2 species